rnacentral:rRNA from 1 species
UGGGGAAUAUUGGACAAUGGGCGAAAGCCUGAUCCAGCCAUGCCGCGUGUGUGAAGAAGGUCUUCGGAUUGUAAAGCACUUUAAGUUGGGAGGAAGGGCAGUAAAUUAAUACUUUGCUGUUUUGACGUUACCGACAGAAUAAGCACCGGCUAACUCUGUGCCAGCAGCCGCGGUAAUACAGAGGGUGCAAGCGUUAAUCGGAAUUACUGGGCGUAAAGCGCGCGUAGGUGGUUCGUUAAGUUGGAUGUGAAAUCCCCGGGCUCAACCUGGGAACUGCAUUCAAAACUGACGAGCUAGAGUAUGGUAGAGGGUGGUGGAAUUUCCUGUGUAGCGGUGAAAUGCGUAGAUAUAGGAAGGAACACCAGUGGCGAAGGCGACCACCUGGACUGAUACUGACACUGAGGNNGCGAAAGCGUGGGGAGCAAAACAGGAUUAGAUACCCUGGUAGU